rnacentral:lncRNA from 1 species
UCAGAAUAAAGCUUCAAAAAAAUCCGAAAAAAUUAUUAAAAUUCAUUAUAAAUAUUGGUUUUUAGGAAUUCAAUAAAAAAUGAGGGUACUCCAUUAAGAAUUUUCAUGUUUUUGAAUGAAUAUGCGAAUAUUGAUAUGUUCUUUCCCUGCAUGAACUGCCAUUCAGCAUUUAAUUUACAGUAUUUCGUGCUCAUCCCUACACUGUUGCUGUUGGGACUCGAUAUGUGAAUUAUAUGGAUGGGAUAGGGUGGCCUCAAAAUCAUCAUCUCUCUCGUUUUCUCUUUGAAUAAUAUGGAUUAAAAAAAAAAAAAACAAAUUUUCAAAAAAAUCGAUCAUGGAUUAAAAAAA